UGGGACUAGAAAUUAGCCUUAUCUUUGACUGCUGGGUUUAUAGGAAAAGCAGAUUGAGAUUGGCUCAGGCUAGGUUGGCUCAGGGGCUGGCAGAAGCUCCCUAAUGCCUAACAAAUUUGUUUCCUCUUCUUCCUAUGCACUCAGCUAGACUAUAUUGCCCAGUUUCCUUUGCAGUUAGGUGUGGUCACUGGAGUUCUAACCAUUAGAAUAGAGAGGAAGUCAUGCAUCAAUACAAGACUGGGCUUAUGAAUAUCUCCCAUGUACAAGUUUUUAUUCUUUCUCCUCAUAGUUUAGCUGAAUGGAGAGGUACUGAGCUAAGUGCUGAAGAUAUUGGAGCCAUCAAAUGGAAGAAGAUUGUUUUCCUAAAUCAUUGCUUGGAGAAGAGCCACUCAAUGAGAAAUUCCAUGUUGAGUUGUGAGAUGAGUGAGAAAUGAACAUUAUUAUGUUAAGAUUUGGAGAUUUAUCUGUUACCUCAUCUAGAGACAGCCUAAGAGAGGCUCUACCUGCUCAUGUGUAGAGGAAGGAUGCAUGGUGUGGGCAAGAUGAGGAGAACUCCAAGAAUCUUCUUCGUGGAGUUCAAAAGCUUCCCUGAGAAUAAGAGCUGACAGAGGUUGACUUGGCAAUCCUUUGAUAGCCCCCUUUGUCCACUUUGGCUUCACUAGGUGAAAAUACUAAAAAUGACUCAAAACCCCUUUGGUUUUCUGUGCCUCUGCAGAGCCUGCAGUAAAGUGUAAUAAAAGUAGAAACUGUGAGUAGGAAGCAUCUGAAGUGGGAAAUGCCGUUAGGCUGGCCCAUAAAAGAUGAGUGCUAUGAGCAGUAAAAUGAGCUAAGAAGGAAAACAUGAUGAAUGUUUUC
rnacentral:lncRNA from 1 species